UCUGUGUAUGCGUGUGUUGCUGCGUGUAGUUGCAUGGCGGCAGCCUGCUAGGCAGAGACUGCUGUUGGUGAUGGGGGACAUUGAUUUUUUUCUCUCCCCCCUCUGUUUUCUCUGGGAUUUUGACAGAAUCAUAGCACCAUGGAAACAAAGAAACUGCUUUGUGACAGAGGAAAACCUUUCAUUUCAGCGGGAGCGAAUGGCGGCUUGCCGCUGAUAACAGCAUGGGAGCCACAGAGAGCUGCACUGUACAUUUACCUGCAAUUAGAUUUGCUCGAGCAUCCUGCUGGGAGUGAUGGAGGCCCCUCAGACCCGGAGAUGGCAACAACUCCAGCUCUUUGUGUGUAUUUCAUACAUAUGUACAUGUAAGCAAUGUAUACAAUGCUUGUAUUUACUUAUUUUUGUAUUUGUGUCCAUUCCUGUGAGAGGAAUAAACAUAAUGUAACACUUA